AGUAACACGUGGAUAACCUACCUAUAAGACUGGGAUAACUUCGGGAAACUGGAGCUAAUACCGGAUAAUAUUUUGAACCGCAUGGUUCAAAAGUGAAAGACGGUCUUGCUGUCACUUAUAGAUGGAUCCGCGCUGCAUUAGCUAGUUGGUAAGGUAACGGCUUACCAAGGCAACGAUGCAUAGCCGACCUGAGAGGGUGAUCGGCCACACUGGAACUGAGACACGGUCCAG
rnacentral:rRNA from 1 species